rnacentral:rRNA from 1 species
GAUGAACGCUGGCGGCGUGCCUAAUACAUGCCAGUCGAGCGAACAGAUGAGGAGCUUGCUCCUCUGACGUUAGCGGCGGACGGGUGAGUAACACGUGGAUAACCUACCUAUAAGACUGGGAUAACUUCGGGAAACCGGAGCUAAUACCGGAUAAUAUAUUGAACCGCAUGGUUCAAUAGUGAAAGACGGUUUUGCUGUCACUUAUAGAUGGAUCCGCGCCGCAUUAGCUAGUUGGUAAGGUAACGGCUUACCAAGGCAACGAUGCGUAGCCGACCUGAGAGGGUGAUCGGCCACACUGGAACUGAGACACGGUCCAGACUCCUACGGGAGGCAGCAGUAGGGAAUCUUCCGCAAUGGGCGAAAGCCUGACGGAGCAACGCCGCGUGAGUGAUGAAGGUCUUCGGAUCGUAAAACUCUGUUAUUAGGGAGGAACAAAUGUGUAAGUAACAAUGCACGUCUUGACGGUACCUAAUCAGAAAGCCACGGCUAACUACGUG